AUGGCUCACGUACAUGUAGACGAGCUGCUCCACGAAGCAGCAGCGGCAGCUCCACGAUCUCUCUUGAUCGCGAGUGCGGUGCUCUUCUCCCUUGUGGUUGUGCCGCUCCUACUCCGCAUUAUUAGCAAGCAGGGAGCGGCAAGCGAUGCCAAGCUGCUGAGCCUGCUCCCAUCUCCCCCGACGAAGCUCCCCAUCAUCGGGCACCUGCACCUAAUGGGCGAUCUCCCCUACGUCUCCCUCGCCGGCCUGGCCGCCAAGUACGGCCCGGAACUCAUGCUGGUACACCUCGGUGCCGUGCCCACCGCCGUCGUGUCCUCGCCGCGCACUGCCGAGGCCGUCCUGCGCACCCACGACCACAUCUUCGCGUCACGGCCGCGGUCGAUGGUCUUCGACAUCAUCAUGUACGGGCAGACGGACUCGUGCUUCGCGCCCUACGGCGAGCACUUCCGGAAGGCCAGGAAGCUGGUGACGGUGCACAUGCUCAACGCCAGGAAGAUACGGUCCCAGCGCCCGGCCCGGGUGGAGGAGGUCCGGCUAGUGAUUGGAAAGAUCGCCAAGGCCGCGGCCGCGCGCGAGGCCGUGGACAUGAGCGAGCUCCUGCACUCGUACGUCAACGACCUCGUUUGCCGUGCUGUGUCGGGCAAGUUCUCCCAGGAGGAGGGGCGGAACAAGCUGUUCCGUGAGCUCACCGACAUCAACGCGGCGCUCCUGGGAGGGUUCAACAUCCUCGACUACUUCCCGAGCCUGGGGAGGUUCGAGUUGGUCUGCAAGAUGGCCUGCGCCAAGGCCCGACGGGUGAGGAAGCGGUGGGACCUGCUCCUCGACAAGCUAAUUGACGACCAUGCAGCAAGGAUGGUAAGCCGUGAGGAUGAGGCCCAGCCGGCGCAAGAGGAAGACAAAGACUUCAUCGACGUAUCCCUAUCUCUUCAGCAGGAGUAUGGUCUCACCAGGGACCAUAUCAAGGCCAUCUUGAUAGACAUGUUUGAGGCCGGCACGGACACCUCGUAUAUGACGCUGGAGUUUGCCAUGGCGGAGCUCAUACGGAAGCCACACCUUAUGAAGAAGCUGCAGGAAGAGGUAAGGAGGAAUGUACCAAACGGGCAAGAGAUGGUCGCCGAAGACGAUCUCCCCAACAUGACCUACCUCAAGGCUGUCAUCAAGGAGACACUCCGGCUGCACCCGCCGGUACCUCUCAUGAUUCCACACUUCUCCCUAGACGCCUGCACCGUUGAUGGCUACACGAUCCCAGCAAACACUCGUGUCGUUAUCAACGCCUGGGCACUCGGCAGGCACAGUAGCUACUGGGAAAAUGAAAAUGAAUUCCAACCUGAGAGAUUUAUGAAUGGAGCCGGCGUUGAUCUGAAGCCAAAUGAGUUCCAUUACUUGCCAUUUGGGUUUGGACGUAGAAUGUGCCCUGGGGUUCACUCGGCAUCAGCAACGGUCGAGACAAUGCUGGCAAACCUCAUGUACCGUUUCGAUUGGAAGCUUCCACCCGGAUUGAAGGAAGAGGACAUAGAUAUGACUGAAGUGUUUGGAAUAACAGUUUCAAGAAAGGAAAAGCUCAUCUUAGUCCCCGUGACCGCAUGA
rnacentral:rRNA from 1 species